UACGAGGGGGGCGAGCGUUGUUCGGAAUUAUUGGGCGUAAAGGGUGCGUAGGCGGUUCCGCAAGUCCUGUGUGAAAUCUUCGGGCUCAACUCGAAGUCUGCACGGGAAACUGCGGGGCUUGAGUGUGGGAGAGGUGAGUGGAAUUCCGAGUGUAGAGGUGAAAUUCGUAGAUAUUCGGAAGAACACCAGUGGCGAAGGCGACUCGCUGGACAAGUAUUGACGCUGAGGUGCGAAAGCGUGGGGAGCAAACAGG
rnacentral:rRNA from 1 species